rnacentral:lncRNA from 1 species
UGCUGUUUACAGUUUAUCUUUAUCUAUAAUGAUAUUCAAGAUAAUGACCAAAAACUGCAAAAUUUUCUUAAAAUUACCAAUUAAGUGGCAGCAACCCAACAAUGGUUUGUUUGAUUCGUCUGAAAAUUUCAGGGCUGAUAGAUCUUGACCUAAUGAACAUUUUUACUCAUGUCAGAUAUGCUCUAAAUGCUUUCGUUUUUGAGAUAUAAGCCAAAAACUGCAUUUGACCCCUAUGUUCUAUUUAAAGUAAGGGCGGUCAUGUUUUUUGACGGAUCAAAAAUCGAAGCACACACUUUGUGCAGGAUAAUCUAAGGAACUAUCAUGCUAAGUUUCAUCCAAAUCCAU